rnacentral:lncRNA from 1 species
UGGUAGCUGACGCGUUGAGUAGAAGAUCAUAUGCAGGAAUGAGUACGAUGAUGUCAAGUAUACGCAUAGAGCCAACUUUAAUAGAAAAGGUUAAGGUUGCUCAAGCCACCGACCCGGAGCUGAUGCGUAUGAAGAAGAAAGUACAAGAAGGUGCUAUUCCAGAAGCGAGAAUUGAUGAAGAAGGAAUACUUCGAGUCCACUCCAGACUUUGUG